rnacentral:rRNA from 1 species
GAUGAACGCUGGCGGCGUGCCUAAUACAUGCCAGUCGAGCGAACAGACGAGGAGCUUGCUCCUCUGACGUUAGCGGCGGACGGGUGAGUAACACGUGGAUAACCUACCUCUUAUACUGGGAUAACUUCGUGAAACCGGAGCUACUACCGGAUAAUAUAUUGAACCGCAUGGUUCAAUAGUGCAAGACGGUUUUGCUGUCACUUAUAGAUGGAUCCGCGCCGCAUUAGCGAGUUGGUAAGGUAACGGCUUACCAAGGCGACGAUGCGUAGCCGACCUGAGAGAAGGAUCAGCGACAGUGGAAAUGAGACACGGUCCAGACACAUCCGGGAGGAAGAAGUGGGGAAUAUUGGAAAAUGGGAGAAAGCCUGAUCAAGCUAUAACGCGGGGGUGAAGAAGGUCUUAGGGUUGUAAAGCCCUUUUGUUGGGAAAGAAAAGAAGCAGGUUAAUACCCCGCUGUUCUGAAGGUACCAAAAGAAUAAGCAACGGCUAACUUCGUG